AAAUUGAAGAGUUUGAUCAUGGCUCAGAUUGAACGCUGGCGGCAGGCCUAACACAUGCAAGUCGAACGGUAACAGGAAGAAGCUUGCUUCUUUGCUGACGAGUGGCGGACGGGUGAGUAAUGUCUGGGAAACUGCCUGAUGGAGGGGGAUAACUACUGGAAACGGUAGCUAAUACCGCAUAACGUCGCAAGACCAAAGAGGGGGACCUUCGGGCCUCUUGCCAUCGGAUGUGCCCAGAUGGGAUUAGCUUGUUGGUGGGGUAACGGCUCACCAAGGCGACGAUCCCUAGCUGGUCUGAGAGGAUGACCAGCCACACUGGAACUGAGACACGGUCCAGACUCCUACGGGAGGCAGCAGUGGGGAAUAUUGCACAAUGGGCGCAAGCCUGAUGCAGCCAUGCCGCGUGUAUGAAGAAGGCCUUCGGGUUGUAAAGUACUUUCAGCGGGGAGGAAGGGAGUAAAGUUAAUACCUUUGCUCAUUGACGUUACCCGCAGAAGAAGCACCGGCUAACUCCGUGCCAGCAGCCGCGGUAAUACGGAGGGUGCAAGCGUUAAUCGGAAUUACUGGGCGUAAAGCGCACGCAGGCGGUUUGUUAAGUCAGAUGUGAAAUCCCCGGGCUCAACCUGGGAACUGCAUCUGAUACUGGCAAGCUUGAGUCUCGUAGAGGGGGGUAGAAUUCCAGGUGUAGCGGUGAAAUGCGUAGAGAUCUGGAGGAAUACCGGUGGCGAAGGCGGCCCCCUGGACGAAGACUGACGCUCAGGUGCGAAAGCGUGGGGAGCAAACAGGAUUAGAUACCCUGGUAGUCCACGCCGUAAACGAUGUCGACUUGGAGGUUGUGCCCUUGAGGCGUGGCUUCCGGAGCUAACGCGUUAAGUCGACCGCCUGGGGAGUACGGCCGCAAGGUUAAAACUCAAAUGAAUUGACGGGGGCCCGCACAAGCGGUGGAGCAUGUGGUUUAAUUCGAUGCAACGCGAAGAACCUUACCUGGUCUUGACAUCCACGGAAGUUUUCAGAGAUGGAAUGGUGCCUUCGGGAACCGUGAGACAGGUGCUGCAUGGCUGUCGUCAGCUCGUGUUGUGAAAUGUUGGGUUAAGUCCCGCAACGAGCGCAACCCUUAUCCUUUGUUGCCAGCGGUCCGGCCGGGAACUCAAAGGAGACUGCCAGUGAUAAACUGGAGGAAGGUGGGGAUGACGUCAAGUCAUCAUGGCCCUUACGACCAGGGCUACACACGUGCUACAAUGGCGCAUACAAAGAGAAGCGACCUCGCGAGAGCAAGCGGACCUCAUAAAGUGCGUCGUAGUCCGGAUUGGAGUCUGCAACUCGACUCCAUGAAGUCGGAAUCGCUAGUAAUCGUGGAUCAGAAUGCCACGGUGAAUACGUUCCCGGGCCUUGUACACACCGCCCGUCACACCAUGGGAGUGGGUUGCAAAAGAAGUAGGUAGCUUAACCUUCGGGAGGGCGCUUACCACUUUGUGAUUCAUGACUGGGGUGAAGUCGUAACAAGGUAACCGUAGGGGAACCUGCGGUUGGAUCACCUCCUUA
rnacentral:rRNA from 1 species